AGCGAACGCUGGCGGCAGGCCUAACACAUGCAAGUCGAACGAACUCUUCGGAGUUAGUGGCGGACGGGUGAGUAACACGUGGGAACGUGCCCUUUGGUUCGGAAUAACUCAGGGAAACUUGUGCUAAUACCGAAUGUGCCCUUCGGGGGAAAGAUUUAUCGCCAUUAGAGCGGCCCGCGUCUGAUUAGCUAGUUGGUGAGGUAACGGCUCACCAAGGCGACGAUCAGUAGCUGGUCUGAGAGGAUGACCAGCCACACUGGGACUGAGACGCGGCCCAGACUCCUACGGGAGGCAGCAGUGGGGAAUCUUGCGCAAUGGGCGAAAGCCUGACGCAGCCAUGCCGCGUGAAUGAUGAAGGUCUUAGGAUUGUAAAAUUCUUUCACCGGGGACGAUAAUGACGGUACCCGGAGAAGAAGCCCCGGCUAACUUCGUG
rnacentral:rRNA from 1 species